UUCAAAAUUUUAGUUUUUCAUAUUUUACUAUUAUCUAAUUUAACCCCCGGUAAAUUAUUUUUCUAGAUAUGUCACUGAGUACCUAGCCAUUGAACUGUGUCAACCAUGCACCAACCAGCAAGUAACACGGAAGACAUUAUGGUUGAUUAGUCAACGAGAUACUAGAAUAUAUAUAUGUUAGCUUAGGUAAAAUUAAUGUCCGAUAAUUUUUAAGCAGUAUUUUGUUGAAUGAUUAAUUGGUGGUUCUGUUAAUCUCAUAGAGAUAUAUAAUUAGAUUCGUCAAGAAACCAGCCUUAAACCAAGAAAUUCCAAUUCGACAUAUAUACGAGAUAUCGAAAUUUUAACACAACUUUGAGGGGAGACCAUAAUUAUAACUAUAAACUAAUUUAAGAUGAUUGGCACUUAUAUUAUAAAUAAAAAAGCAUAAAAUGUUUUUGUUUAAUAGAAACAUUUUGGUCAUUUUCAAAUUUCUGACGAAGUAAUUGUGACGGUUCUUUCCACAAUCAGUCAAUUAUUAUGAUCGCUCACUUUAUGCUAAUUGUUCAACCACUCUUUCAACUUUUUCUUUUCUGUUCAACGAUGGAAUGAUAAAAUGAUCAAAAUAAUGUGAUAGGCUGAUAAUGAAUUAAGUCCAAUGCACACAAGAAAGUUUUGAAAAAGUUUUUGGAAAUAUCGAUCUAUAGCUUUAUAUCAUUGAUCAAAAUAGAUAAAAACAAGCAAUUACACCGUUUUUUGGAGAGUUGUUUUAGUUUCUUUCAAUUCUCAUAAAAGCAUUUGUUGUGUUAAAUUUCCCAUCAGCUCCAGCUUGAUCUCAAUAUUUCCUUAUUAGCGUAUCAGUACUAUCAUUUACUGUUCUCCUGUUCAAAAUCUUUGAAUCCCUUAAAUUGGAAUUGUAAAAUUUGAUUUUUCCCUUUGAAGAGUAUAAUCUAGCUAGUUAGGCUUGGUCAAGAAUUUCAUGAUCACCAAACCAUCUGAUUAAGCCACUAAACUUAGAGAUAGAAAAAUUAAUCAAUUACUUGGUUUCAACUUAGCCAAGAAAUGUCCAAGAAACUUCCUAGCUCGAAAUUAUUUAUAAUUAAAAGGCUCGAAAUUAUUUAUAAUUAAAAGGCUUUAGUAAUAUAAUUUUAUGACCCUAGUAAUUUAGUUCCAAUGUGACAGUAAGUUGCUCAAAGUAAUCAAUUUCCAAAUGAAGAUAAAGACAUGAGUCAUGACCACCUUGCCACAAUAUUACUAAAGGGUCAUAUGUGUGUGUGUAUAUCAAAAUCUCCAAUUAUGUAUCAUGCAUGCAUGUGUGUGUGUGUAUAGUUUUUCUCUAGUGCUAACAUCCUCAUUUUUUUAAUGCGGACACACUCUUAAAACCCAUGAGGUUUAAUAAAUUUAUUUCUAAAUGAACUAUAAAGUCGUGCCGUUUAAGAGAGUUAAAAUCUUAACUCUAUUAAACCUUAUAGUUUAAAAGCAUGUCUGUAUGAAAAAAAAAAUAAUGUGAACACUCGCACUAGAGAAAGACUAUACACACACAUACAUCCACAAAUACAUACAUGAUAAAUGAUUGGAGAUUUUGAUAAUCUAAAAGAUAUUGCGUUGAUUGGAUCAUCAAUACUUUUGAUUGAAGUGUUAUAUAUGGGUUGGAUUUUUACCAAGAAGUUCAUUUGAACUACUUAUAAUUUAAUAUACAUCUAGGGUCUAUAUAAAAUAUUGUCCAAGUUAACAAGUAAUUCCGAUUUCAGUUAUUUUUCACAAUGAUACCGGUGCUUAAUUUGUUUUGAGAGACGAUUUUAGAUGAGUAUCGCGGUAAAAGUGUCUUUUGUAGUGGUAAUUUUCGGAUGUUGGUCAAGUUUACUGCAGCAAGGAAUUUACCAUUGGCUUAUCCUUGAAAAAAUUAAGUUCAAGUCUCGUACGAAGGAAGUGCCAAAAUUUGAAAAUCAACACACUGACUUUUUACCUUGAAUAUUUUGUCACGUUCUCACAUAGUUACAUUUAAUAAUCAACAAUAAGAGCCAACAUCUCAACAGCUAGCAGAACCUUCUUCUAGUUAUAUAUUUUUCUGCAAAAACCACGUAAUUCCAAAACUUUUGUGGCUCGGUUAGAGCAUGCACCCCUUUGACAAGUGAGUUCGACUCUUCACGAGUUUUCAGUUUGAUAAAUUUCACAGAAACUUCUCACUUUGAUCGUUAAAUUUUCACUCCCGUGUGUGAAAUUCAAGAUUCAUAAGAGAAUAAGAUGACCACUAUCGACAGAAAUGUCUGUGGCAUCAUCAUGGAAAGUGAUUUCUGUGCGAAUUUCUACUGCAAUUACAUAUAUAUAUAUGUAUGUAUGUAUCAUGUAUGUAUGUAUCGUUAAUUGUCAGCUACUGAACCCAGUUAUUAAAGCCUUUGUUGAUGGAUGAAUCAUAAAUCAAGACCAGACCCAAAAGGACGGUAUUUUCUUUUUCGUUUCCAGCUUCCGAAUUUACUCAUUUAGGUCCAACUCAGGUUAGUGACUUAACCAGUUUAGUCCACGCACGUAAAUCGCUUAUGUUGACUAAGUCAAAAGGCCGUUAUUGGCCGUCAAAAGAAGCGGGAGUGACAGCUGGUGAUUGUUAUGCUCUGACAAACUCUCCUAAUUAUAGAAUUAUAGCUGAUUUACCGCCUUUCUAUAGAUAGAGAUUUAGAGCUAUAGAGAAAGAAAUUCGGGAAAGUUUCCUCUUGAGAUAAGCUCUAUGUGGUAUUAUAUAAACACUCGUUAUAGUAACUUAGAAGCUAAAUUGAUUUCAUUCUACAUUUAUAUAACGAAAAAUUUACAUU
rnacentral:lncRNA from 1 species